rnacentral:rRNA from 1 species
CUACGGGUUGCUGCAGUGAGGAAUAUUGCACAAUGGGGGAAACCCUGAUGCAGCAACGCCGCGUGGAGGAUGACGCAUUUCGGUGUGUAAACUCCUUUUAUAUGUCAAGAAAAUGACGGUAGCAUAUGAAUAAGCACCGGCUAACUCCGUGCCAGCAGCCGCGGUAAUACGGAGGAUGCAAGCGUUAUUCGGAAUCACUGGGCGUAAAGGACGCGUAGGCGGGUUAUCAAGUCAGGUGUGAAAUCCUACAGCUUAACUGUAGAACUGCACUUGAAACUGGUAGCCUAGAGUAUGGGAGGGGCAGAUGGAAUUAGUGGUGUAGGGGUAAAAUCCGUAGAUAUCACUAGGAAUACCGAAAGCGAAGGCGAUCUGCUGGAACAUUACUGACGCUAAGGCGUGAAAGCGUGGGGAGCAAACAGGAUUAGAUACCCGAGUAGUC